UGUUGGAAACGACUUGUAAUGCUCUAUAUGCCUUUAGUACAUAAGUACGCAAGGGAAAUAUUUAUAGCUUUGAGAUGGGACUGUACGGUAUCAGUUUGUUGGUGAGGUAAUGGCUCACCUAGACUAUGACGCCUAACUGGUUUGAGAGGAUGAUCAGUCACACUGGAACUGAGACACGGUCCAGACUCUUACGGGAGGCAGCAGUGGGGAAUAUUGCACAAUGGAGGAAACUCUGAUGCAGCAACGCCGCGUGGAGGAUGACACAUUUCGGUGCGUAAACUCCUUUUAUUAGGGAAGAUAAUGACGGUACCUAAUGAAUAAGCACCGGCUAACUCCGUGCCAGCAGCCGCGGUAAUACGGGGGGUGCAAGCGUUACUCGGAAUCACUGGGCGUAAAGAGCAUGUAGGCUGGUUUGUAAGUUGGAAGUGAAAUCCUAUGGCUUAACCAUAGAACUGCUUCCAAAACUGCAGACCUAGAGUAUGGGAGAGGUAGAUGGAAUUUCUGGUGUAGGGGUAAAAUCCGUAGAGAUCAGAAGGAAUACCAAAAGCGAAGGCGAUCUACUGGAACAUUACUGACGCUGAGAUGCGAAAGCGUGGGGAGCAAACAGGAUUAGAUACCCUGGUAGUCCACGCCCUAAACGAUGCACACUAGUUGUUGCUAUGCUCGACAUAGCAGUAAUGCAGUUAACACAGUAAGUGUGCCGCCUGGGGGAGUACGGUCGCAAGAUUAAAACUCAAAGGAAUAGACGGGGACCCGCACAAGCGGUGGAGCAUGUGGUUUAAUUCGACGAUACGCGAAGAACCUUACCUGGCCUUGACAUAGGAAGAACUUACUAAAAGAUAGUUUGGGUGCUAGUUUACUAGAGCUUCCAUACAGGUGCUGCACGGCUGUCGUCAGCUCGUGUCCUGAAGAAGUUUGGGGUUAAGUCCCGCAACCGAGCGCAACCCUCCGGGUUUAGUUACUAAACAGUUCCGCUUAAGGACUCUAGACAGACUGCCUGGGAAACCCCAAAGAGAAAGGUGGAGGACAACCUCCAAGUCUUCUUGGGCCCUUUAGGGCAGGGGGUCACCCUGGCUUCAAAUUGGGGGUUAUCAAAAGAGCCCAAAAUUCGGGGGACGGGAGAGAAAUUCCUAAAAAAUUCCCCCCCUUCGCGGAGAAGGGCUCGCCACCCCCCACCUCCGUUGUGUGAGAACCCCCGUUUUUCCCAAAACACACCC
rnacentral:rRNA from 1 species